GCGUCGGUAGCUCAAUUGGCAGAAUAGUGGGACGAUACCCCACGGUCCCGGGUUCAAAUCCUGACCGACACU